rnacentral:rRNA from 1 species
AUUGAACGCUGGCGACAUGCCUUACACAUGCAAGUCGAACGGCAGCACGGGUGCUUGCACCUGGUGGCGAGUGGCGAACGGGUGAGUAAUACAUCGGAACAUGUCCUGUAGUGGGGGAUAGCCCGGCGAAAGCCGGAUUAAUACCGCAUACGAUCUACGGAUGAAAGCGGGGGACCUUCGGGCCUCGCGCUAUAGGGUUGGCCGAUGGCUGAUUAGCUAGUUGGUGGGGUAAAGGCCUACCAAGGCGACGAUCAGUAGCUGGUCUGAGAGGACGACCAGCCACACUGGGGCUGAGACCCGGCCCAGACUCCUACGGGAGGCAGCAGUGGGGAAUUUUGGACAAUGGGCGAAAGCCUGAUCCAGCAAUGCCGCGUGUGUGAAGAAGGCCUGCGGGUUGUAAAGCACUUUUGUCCGGAAAGAAAUCCUUGGCCCUAAUACGGUCGGGGGAUGACGGUACCGGAAGAAUAAGCACCGGCUAACUACGU